UGCGUAGGUGGGUAGGUAAGUCAGUGGUGAAAUCUUCAAGCUUAACUUGGAAACUGCCAUUGAUACUAUUUAUCUUGAAUACUUUGGAGGUAAGCGGAAUAUGUCAUGUAGCGGUGAAAUGCUUAGAUAUGACAUAGAACACCAAUUGCGAAGGCAGCUUACUACACAGUUAUUGACACUGAGGCACGAAAGCGUGGGGAUCAAACAGGAUUAGAUACCCUGGUAGUCC
rnacentral:rRNA from 1 species